CAGCACCUCAAGUGGUCAGGAUGAUUAUUGGGCCUAAAGCAUCCGUAGCUGGCGCUGUAAGUUUUCGGUUAAAUCUGUACGCUCAACGUACAGGCUGCCGGGAAUACUGCAGCGCUAGGGAGUGGGAGAGGUAGACGGUACUCGGUAGGAAGGGGUAAAAUCCUUUGAUCUAUUGAUGACCACCUGUGGCGAAGGCGGUCUACCAGAACACGUCCGACGGUGAGGGAUGAAAGUUGGGGGAGCAAACCGGAUUAGAUACCCGAGUAGUCC
rnacentral:rRNA from 1 species